UUUUUUUUUUUUUUUUUAGGGCCACACCUGCAGCACAUGUAGGUUUCCAGGCUUGGGGUCAAAUAGGAGCUGCAUCUGCCGGCCUAGGCUACAGCCACAGCAGCGCCGGAUCUGAGCCAAGUCUGCGACCUACACCAGAGCUCAUGGUAACUCCAGAUCCUUAACCCACUGAGCGAGGCCAGGGAUCGAACCCACAUCCUUAUGGAUACCAGUUGGGUUCAUUGACCACUGAGCCACAGCUGGAAUGCCUUUUGCUGAUUUUUUAAUUGAGGCGUUUGUCUGCUCUGCUUUUGAAAAACUGCUUUGGCUAUUCAUAGUCUUUUGUAGUUCCAGACAAAUUUUAGGAUUUUUCUUCUAUUUCUGUGAAAACCACAUUGGAAUUUUGAUAGAGAUUAUAUUGAAUCUGUAGAUUGCUUGGGAUAAUAUGGACAUUUUAACAAUAUUAAGUUUUCCAAACCAUGAACAUGAGGUAUCUUUUCAUUAUACAAUUUUGUAUCCUACAACUUUACUGUAUUCGUGUAUUAAUUAUAAUAGUGUUUUUGUGGAAUCUUUAGGGUUUUCAAUAUGUAGUAUCGUAUCAUCUAAGAAAGAGACAAUUUUCUUCUUCCUUUCCAAUUUGGAUACCUUCUAUAUCUUUUUCUUGACUUAGCCCUCUGGCUAGGACUUCCAGUUGAAUAUGUUGAAUAAAACCAUCAAGCGUGGGCAACUUUGUUUUGUUCCUGAUCUUAGAGAAAAAGCUUUCAGCUUUUCAUCAUAAUGAUGGUAGUUGUAGGCCUGUCAUAUAUCGUCUUUUUUAUGGAGAUGCAUAUUCCAUCUAUACCUAUUUGAUCAUUGUUUUCAUCCCGAGAGGAUUUUGAGUUGUAUUGAAUACUUUUUUCUGCAUUUAUUGGGAUGAUCAUGUGUUUUUCUUAUCUCUCAUUUUGUUAAUCUGUUAGAUCACAUUAAUUGAUUGGGGGUGUAUUGAGCCGUCCUGUCUUCCCAGGAACAAAUCCCACUUGAUCGGGCUGUGCAAUCCUUCUAUACUGACGAAUGGAACUUGAGCGGUCCUGUCUUCCCAGGAACAAAUCCCACUUGAUCGGGCUAUGCAAUCCUUCUAUACUGCCGAAUGGAACUUGCUACACUUUGUUGCGAAUGUUUACAUCCAUGUUCAUCAAAGAUAGUGGCCUAUAGUUUUCUUUUCUUGGAGCAUCCUUACCUGGCUUUGGUAUCAGGGUAAUGCUGACCUCAUGAAAUAAGUUGGGAAGUGUCUCCCCCUAUUAACUUUUUGGAUGAGUUUGAGAAGGAUUGGUAUUAAUGCUUCUUUGAAUGUUGGUAGAAUUUACCAGUGGAACCAUUUGAUCCUGGGCCUUUGUUUGUUGGAAGGUUUUCCAUUAGUGACUCAUUCUGGUUACUCGUAAUUGGUCUGUUCAUGUUUUCUGUUUUAUCAUGUUUCGGUUUUGGUAGGUUUCAUGUUUCCAGAAAUGUAUCUAGUUCUUCUAGCUUGUCUAGUUUGUGGGUACGUAAUUGUUCCUAGUACUUUAUCACGAUUCUGGCUAUACCCCCAUUGACUCAGAACCAGUCAAUGCUAUGGCCCCUUCCCUUGGGUGGCAGCCAGAAAAGUUGGGUCACGGACUAUGUGGACGAGCUCCUCCCAGGGAGAAGUUAGAGGCUUGGUUUUACUGUUGGAGCAGGCUAGAUGGUGGAUGUAGGGAAAGUGCCCGCCAUUACUUUUAGGCUCUUGGGAUAAUAUAGAUGCAGACUGAUCAGAAGCAGAAGCCACAGGCAGUAACUGGGAGACUAUGCCAUCGAACUCCUUCCGGGAAAAGAAGAGAAAAAAUUAGGAGAUGGGAAUUUUUUCUGCUACCUCUGCAUUGUGUCUGAGUAGGCAAGGGGAGUGCUUCUUUGUUUGCUGUAGCCCUGCAGGUAUUAUGGACGCAAGCCCUUUUGGUCAGAGCCAGGUAAUCUGGGGCCCCAUCAGGUGGCAGCCUUAAAAGUCAAGGUACUAGAUGACAAUUCAAAACUUUUCACAUCUUGUGGGAAAGCUGGAAGUUGGGAGUUUCCUCUUGCUUGUAAGUUGCUGUGUCAUGGAUGAGGUUUAUGGUGAGAAAGUGUAAUUCGCCUUUUCUACCCACUUUGAUGAGGUUUUAAAAACCUUUUAAAUGAUUAUGUGAUCUUUACCCAUCAUUUAUUAUGAAUUUCAUGGACUGAUUUUCAAUUGUUAAAGUAAAAUCAAACUAUUAGAAUAAAAUCCCCUUUGUUGUCAUGCAUUGCAAGAUUUGGCUUACUAAGUCUUUUUUGUCAUUUUGCAUUACUGUAAGAUUAGCCAAAAUUUUCUUCUACUUAAUGCCAUAGUAGGGUUUUUAUUUCAAGGUUAAAACUGCCUCAAAAAGAAAAAAAUAAGAAAUCAAAGAAAGGGAUAGAAAUUACUCUUCCUUUAUUCUCUGGAAGAGUUUAAGCGGCAUUUUAAAUAUGUAUUCAAGUACUUUUAAAAAUUUUAAUGAAAAUUUUUUGCCGGAAUGAUUUAUACUAUAAGUCCCUUUUUUUUUUUUUAACUUAAUAGAUGAUUCUGAUCUUCUAUUCCUUCGCGGGUCAGCUUUGGUAAGUUAUUUCUUUAAUAAUUUCCCAUUUCAGGAGUUCCCGUCGUGGCUCAAUGGUUAACGAAUCCGACUAGGAAUCAUGAGGUUGCAGGUUCAAUCCCUGGCCUUGCUCAGUGGGUUAAGGAUCCGGUGUUGCCGUGAGAUGUGGUGUAGGUUAUGGACGCAGCUCGGAUCCUGCGUUGCUGUGGUUCUGGCGUGGCCAGUGGCUACAGCUUCAAUUUGACCCGUAGCCUGGGAACCUCCAUAUGCUGCGGGAGCGGCCCAAGAAAUGGCAAAAAGACAAAAAUAAUAAGAAUAAUAAUAAUUUUCCAUUUCAUCAAAACAGUCAAAUGUGUGAGUAUGAAAUUAUUCAUAGUAUGAUUCCAUUAUCUUAUGACACUUCAAUCAAUGUAAUUUCUAUAGAUUCUCUCUUAUUAUCCGUGAUAUUUCUGCGUGUGUUCUGUACGUGUUUGAAAACAUAUUUUGGAUCUAUAUUUGAAAGAAUACAUAUUCUUCAGGUUUAGCUUGAGUUUUCUACAUAUUUAAGUUGGUCAAGACGGUAAUUGUAGGAAAAAAAAGGAGGUUCCGUGGUCCCCCUGUGGCUCAGCGGAAACAAAUCCGACCAGGAACCAUGAGGUUGCAUGUUCGCUCCCUCAGCUCACUCAGUGGGUUAAGGAUCUGGUGUUGCCGUGAGCUGUGGUGCAGGUCACAGACGUGGCUCCGAUCUGGCGUUGCUGUGGCUGUGGCAUAGGCUGGCAGCUGCAGCUCUGAUUCGGCCCCUAGCCUGGGGACCUCCAUAUGCUGCGGGUGCAGCCCUAAAAAGGUGGAAAGAAAAAAAAAAGAUAAUUGUAAUCUUCCAGAUAGCUACAGAUUAUGUUUUCUCUAGACUUAAGUCUUCUGUAAGAAAUGGAUUAAAAUCACCAUGAUUGAUCAUUUCUUUUUUGUAGUUCUGAUAAUUUUUGAAGGCAUAUCAUUAAGCACAAAUUUGGAAGCUAUAGAAUCAUGGGAAAUUAAAAGUUAUAAAAAUGUGACACUUUAUCUCUUGUAAUGAUUUUGCUUUAAAAUCUACUAUGUCUAUACUUUCCUUUGGUUCAAGUUUGGUAUAUUUUUAUAUCAUUUUAGAUUCUAUU
rnacentral:lncRNA from 1 species